UUCAUCGUCACAGGAAUAUGACGUUUCAAGAGACAGACUUUUUGUCAAUCCAAUCAAAAUUCAGUGUGUACAUGCGCCAACCGGAAGAAGGUGAAAAGUAGGCAAUGUUAGUAUUGACUGUCUCUAUUGGCAUUAUCCAGUCCCAAUACUACUACAUAGACUUGUCCAGACAAAACAAUGGCUUACAGGAGAGACCGAAACAUAAGGGAUGUCUAUGACGAACGCUUCCUAUCAGACAGACCGGCCCCAUAUCCCAGAUCAGCUGGAGCAGGGCCUGUAGAGAGGAGGCCGGCUGGUUUCGGAAGGCCAGACGAGGAGUACAAUCGAGGGUUUGAGUACGACGGGCCUCGCUUUUAUCCAAAUGGAGGCCCUCGAGGUUACCAUGGCGAGGAUCAAAGAGGCUACCAUGGCGACAGCCUUCAUUUUCCUAACGAGCGCAGAGGUAUCCCACCUUCCCGGAGAGUAAGUGGCUUGUUGUCAGAC